UUGCUCCAUUGCCAAUCCGAAGGAUUAUGUCAUCUUUUCUUAACCUCCUACAUUCUAUUAAACCUUGCAUUGAGAUACAUAUAUGAGCACUCGAAUCAGAAUCCAAUAUCCAACUAGAAAUAGAAGAAAUCGUAAGGUUAGAUUCAAUUACGAGCAUACCUUCUGAAGGUUUAUCAUCUCUUUUGAUCUUUAAGCUCUCCAGAAAGAGUGGACAGUUCCUCCUCCAGUGGCCGUC
rnacentral:lncRNA from 1 species